rnacentral:rRNA from 1 species
GACGAACGCUGGCGGCGUGCUUAACACAUGCAAGUCGAACGGAAAGGCCCUGCUUUUGUGGGGUGCUCGAGUGGCGAACGGGUGAGUAACACGUGAGUAACCUGCCCUUGACUUUGGGAUAACUUCAGGAAACUGGGGCUAAUACAGGAUAGGAGCUCCUGCUGCAUGGUGGGGGUUGGAAAGUUUCGGCGGUUGGGGAUGGACUCGCGGCUUAUCAGCUUGUUGGUGGGGUAGUGGCUUACCAAGGCAUGGACGGGUAGCCGGCCUGGGAGGGUGACCGGCCACAUUGGGCCUGAGAUACGGCCCAGACUCCUACGGGAGGCAGCAGUGGGGAAUAUUGCACAAUGGGCGGAAGCCUGAUGCAGCAACGCCGCGUGCGGGAUGACGGCCUUCGGGUUGUAAACCGCUUUCGCCUGUGACGAAGCGUGAGUGACGGUAAUGGGUAAAGAAGCACCGGCUAACUACGUG